rnacentral:rRNA from 1 species
UACGUAGGGGGCAAGCGUUGUCCGGAUUUAUUGGGCGUAAAGAGCGUGUAGGCGGCCAGACAAGUCCGCUGUGAAAACUCGAGGCUCAACCUCGAGACGCCGGUGGAAACCAUCAGACUAGAGUCCGGAAGAGGAGAGUGGAAUUCCUGGUGUAGCGGUGAAAUGCGCAGAUAUCAGGAAGAACACCCGUGGCUAAGGCGGCUCUCUAGUACGGUACUGACGCUGAGACGCGAAAGCGUGGGGAGCGAACAGG